AAUAGAGAUAAAAUAAAAUUCACAAACUCUAAAAGCACUAAAAUUUGCAUUAAAAGAGAACUAUCUAAAGACAAAUGGGGGGGACAAAAAGGAACUUUUCUGGGAGUCAGCUGUACAACAAGGGGGCUAAAAACAUGACUCAAACAUAACCUGAAAGCUAUUUGGGGCUAUCCAGUUUUGUAAAAGUAUGUAAAUAUAUAUCAAAAUACAAUAAGAUGUAUUGUUUUGAUGUAAAUGCAUACUAAAUAAAUUAAUAUUUGAAACUUUA